AAUAUUAUUUAUAACAGAGUCACCAAUAACAUCAUCAUCAUCGUCAUCGUCAUCAUCAUUAUGAUUACCAUCCGGUCAGGGCGUCAAUUGCUCCCAUGUCAGCUAUAAUUAUGCGAUAUAUGUAUGUGGGCUGGGCGGCCUGUUUGACCAGUUUAUUUGAAUGCAUUUGGUGAAUUUUCUGGUAUAUCAAAUUAAUGUUCGUUAUUCUGUCGAUGCC